rnacentral:sRNA from 1 species
GGUGUGUGCCUCUUUGUAUUGUAGCCUGGAGUCAGUGCUCGCUUCUGCGCCUGCAGGAUGUCCAUGUGUCUGCUGGCAGCCUAGGGCCCAGGCCCGGGCCACCAUGGCGCUGCCUCCGGGCCCAGCCGCCCUCCGGCACACACUGCUGCUCCUGCCAGCCCUUCUGAGCUCAGGUACACCCCUGUUCAGUCGUUGACCAAGUCCUUCUGGGUUCCAAAGCCCCCUCUCUCCCCUGUCUGCACUUCUGUUUGGGUACCCACUCCAGGCCCCAAGCCCUGGAGUCCCUG